rnacentral:rRNA from 1 species
AGAGCAUUUGAUGGAUGCCUUGGUGGUAGGAGGCGAUGAAGGACGUAACAGGCUGCGAUAAGCUGUGGGGAGGUGCCAAUAACCUUUGAUCCGCAGAUUUCCGAAUGGGGAAACCCGCCGAGUUUACUCGGCAUUCUAAGAUGAAUCAAUAGUCUUAGAAAGCAAACCUAGGGAACUGAAAUAUCUAAGUACCUAGAGGAAAAGAAAUCAAACGAGACUCCGUUAGUAGUGACGAGCGAACGCGGACUAGGCCAAUGUUCUUGCUGUAAUAAUUAGAAUCUCUUGGAAAAGAGAGCCAUAGUAGGUGAUAGCCCUGUAUAAGUAAAAAGCAGUAAGGAAUUUGAGUAAGGCGAGGCACGUGAAACCUUGUCUGAAUAUGGGGGGACCACCCUCCAAGCCUAAGUACUCCCUACCGACCGAUAGUGAACAAGUACCGUGAGGGAAAGGUAAAAAGAACCCCGAUUAGGGGAGUGAAAUAGAAUCUGAAAUCAAAUGCUUACAAGCAGUCGGAGCAGUCCAGUCCAUUUAUGGAUUGGUGCUGUGACGGCGUACCUCUUGUAUAAUGGGUCAGCGAGUUAGUGUAUCUGGCAAGGUUAAGCCGUUAGGUGUAGCCGUAGCGAAAGCGAGUCUGAAUAGGGCGCUUAGUCAGAUGCAUUAGACCCGAAACCGGGUGAUCUAGCCAUGAGCAGGCUGAAGUUAAGGUAAGACUUAAUGGAGGGCCGAACUCGUCACUGUUGCAAAAGUGUGAGAUGACUUGUGGCUAGGGGUGAAAGGCCAAUCAAACUCGGAAAUAGCUGGUUCUCCGCGAAAUCUAUUUAGGUAGAGCGUUGUUUGGUUACCGUCGGGGGUAGAGCACUGGAUAGGCUAGGGGGGCCCAAAGCCUUACCAAACCUAACUAAACUCCGAAUACCGACGAGUAUAAAACAGCAGGCAGACUGUGGGUGCUAAGAUCCAUAGUCGAAAGGGAAAGAGCCCAGACCGCCGUCUAAGGUCCCCAAGUUAUAGUUAAGUGUGAAAGGAUGUGGGAACGCCAAAACAACUAGGAAGUUGGCUUAGAAGCAGCCAUCUUUUAAAGAAAGCGUAAUAGCUCACUAGUCUAAUAGCGAUCUUGCGCCGAAAAUGUAUCGGGGCUUAAACUAUAUACCGAAGACGCGGGUUCAUGUGUGUAACAACAUAUGAGCGGUAGCGGAGCGUUGUGUAAGUCUGUGAAGGUGUGUCGUAAGGCAUGCUGGAGAUAUCACAAGUGAGAAUGCUGACAUAAGUAGCGUAAAGGGAUGUGAGAAACAUCCCCGCCGAAAGUCCAAGGUUUCCUACGUAAAGUUAAUCUGCGUAGGGUUAGCCGGCUCCUAAGACGAGGCUGAAAGGCGUAGUCGAUGGGAAUCACGUUAAUAUUCGUGAGCCUGCCAGUAGUGACGAAAGUAAAGAAUUGUGUGAAGUUAAUGGAUUCUGAGCGCAGUUUUAGCUUUCCAGGAAAUAGCUCUGGCAUAUAGACCGUACCCCAAACCGACACUGGUGGACAGGUAGAGUAUACCAAGGCGUGGAGUGAAUGAUAUUGAAGGAACUAGACAAAUUGCACCUGUAACUUCGGGAAAAGGGUGGCCUCACUUAGGCAACUAAGAUGAGGUGGCACAAACUAGGGGGUGGCGACUGUUUAUCAAAAACACAGGGCUCUGCAAACUCGUAAAGAGGAAGUAUAGGGUCUGACGCCUGCCCGGUGCUGGAAGGUUAAGGUGAGGAGUGCAAGCUCUGAUCUGAAGCCCCAGUAAACGGCGGCCGUAACUAUGACGGUCCUAAGGUAGCGAAAUUCCUUGUCGGGUAAGUUCCGACCUGCAUGAAUGGCGUAACGACUUCCCCAUUGUCUCCAAUAUUACCUCAGCGAAAUUGAAUUCUCCGUGAAGAUGCGGAGUGCCCGCGGUUAGACGGAAAGACCCCGUGAACCUUUACUAUAGCUUUGCAUUGGUGUUAGGAAUUAAAUGUGUAGGAUAGGUGGGAGACUAUAAAGCAGAGGCGCCAGCUUUUGUGGAGUCAUCCUUGAAAUACCACCCUUUUAAUUUUUGACAUCUAACCACGACCUGUGAAUCCAGGUCUGAGACAGUGCAUGGUGGGUAGUUUGACUGGGGCGGUCGCCUCCCAAAGAGUAACGGAGGCGUGCGAAGGUAAGCUCAGGCUGGUCGGAAAUCAGCUGUAAGAGUGCAAUGGCAUAAGCUUGCCUGACUGUGAGACUGACAAGUCGAGCAGAGACGAAAGUCGGUCAUAGUGAUCUGGUGGUCCCGCGUGGAAGGGCCAUCACUCAACGAAUAAAAGGUACUCCGGGGAUAACAGGCUGAUGAGCUCCAAGAGCCCAUAUCGACGAGCUCGUUUGGCACCUCGAUGUCGACUCAUCACAUCCUGGGGCUGUAGAAGGUCCCAAGGGUUCGGCUGUUCGCCGAUUAAAGUGGUACGUGAGUUGGGUUCAGAACGUCGUGAGACAGUUCGGUCCCUAUCUGCCGUGGGUGUAAGGAAAAUUGAGAAGAUCUGACUUUAGUACGAGAGGACCGAGUUGGACAUACCACUGGUGUACCAGUUGUUCCGCCAGGAGCAGCGCUGGGUAGCUAUGUAUGGAAGGGAUAACCGCUGAAUGCAUCUAAGCGGGAAACCCACUUCAAAACUAGUUUU